UACGAAGGGGGCUAGCGUUGCUCGGAAUUACUGGGCGUAAAGCGCACGUAGGCGGAUUGUUAAGUCGGGGGUGAAAUCCUGGAGCUCAACUCCAGAACUGCCUUCGAUACUGGCGAUCUCGAGUUCGGGAGAGGUGAGUGGAACUGCGAGUGUAGAGGUGAAAUUCGUAGAUAUUCGCAAGAACACCAGUGGCGAAGGCGGCUCACUGGCCCGAUACUGACGCUGAGGCACGAAAGUGUGGGGAUCAAACAGG
rnacentral:rRNA from 1 species